UUGGCAGUUCUUUUUCAGACCACUAGAUGUCACUUCCAUUUCAAAGGAACCCACUGGUUGGAAUUUUCCCCAGUCAGGUCCCCACAGCCUUCAAGUCUUAAAGACACACAGACCACAAAAGAAAACUUCAUUUUCCCCGGAGGACCAAGACACUGGAAACCUGGCCAGGAGCUGCCCCCAACCCUCAGCUGAAGCUUCCAGGGGCUCCAUAACAUCCCAUCCCAACCCUGGAAAGAGCCAGAGGUGAUGGAACUCCAUCUCCCCAUCCCCCAUCUGUCCUACAGGUUAGUAUGAGGAUGGUAUUUUCUGAAAUGAACAAAAAAAUGAAAGACGUGAUGAAAUGAAUGUGAGUACAUUUGAGGGGGACGAUGUUUGAAACAGGGGACAUAUAUGCCAAAGAUCCUCUUCAGGGCCAGGAGAUUCCAGGUUCAUCAAGGUCAUGUUGUCCAUCCCCAGGCUUCAGACUAUCCUCAAAAAGUUCAGGUAAGGCAGCGCUGAAGGGAAGUUCCAGGGACCUUGCUUUCUCCACUCCAGUCCCCAAUAUUCAGUCAACAUCUCUUGGCUGGCUGGGGCUGAUUAUUAUAAGAAAGUUCUCCCCAAGCCUCUUGCUGCUGUCCCAUCUCAGCUCCCCACAGAAAUGGGGCAUGGAUUCAGCUGGUUGGUUUAUCUACAGCUCAUCCGAGAUAAGGUGAGCUGCUUCCAGAGCAGUUAGCAUCAUACAUAGAAAACUGUUCCUUGUCAGUAUCUGACCUCUAGCCCCAACCACUUAUCAACAGCCAGUCAUAACCACAGCUGACCCUUUAUCUUGACUACAAGCUUGCUUUUGAGACCACAAGCUGUCCCUAAUGCCAGCCAUGUUCAGCACUGGCCAG
rnacentral:lncRNA from 1 species